rnacentral:misc_RNA from 1 species
AAAAAAGAAGAAUAUUGCGUGGAAUGGGAGGUCGUGACUGCCCCUAAGGCUUUUGCUGACUUUUCUCCUUCAAAUUGCCAGGUGCUUUUUGCGUAAUUUCCAUUCUUAUAUUCUCAGACUGGGAAUUAUUCAAUGAUCAUCAUUAUUAUUACAAAAAAAAAUUAAAAUGUAUUAAAAUAUUAAAAUUAUUCUUUGUCCCUAGCUUUAUACAACAUAACAAUAUGGUUUGGAUAGAUUUGUUUUGUUAGGCAAUAGAAGCAACUAUGGUUCACUUUUGUCUUAAAAUUACAGCGGGAGAGUGUCGUGUGAGUGAGAACAGAUCAGAUCAGAAAUUCUGUGGUUCUUAGUGUAAGGGCCUGCUUAGACGGUAUUUUAAUUUAUUUUUUUUAACUCAAAAAAAUUUUUGUAAAAGAAUUCCCAUUCAUUCAUUCAUUCAUUCAAAAUCCAAACAAACUCAAAAAAAUAAAUUAAAA